rnacentral:piRNA from 1 species
UGCCAAUCCAAAUAAACAGAGGCUGGC